CUUUAAUCCCGGGUGUCUCUGAGGAGCAGGAGAGCCAGGCAGUCCCUGGCAAAGGAGGGCGACACGGGAAGCACCAAGGCCCCUUGGUUCUGCCCCAUGUGCUGCCAAAGCAUGGUAGAAACCCUAUUCUGCUCUGGCUGCUCAAGGACACUUGGCAUCAUCUACAGGUGCACCUCAAAGCAUCUCGACUGCAAGAGCAAUUUGUUCUGUUUCAGUAUUGGCUCUGUUGAAAGAUUGUAGCUGCUGAAAGGCUGAGGUGAGACCAGGAUCUGCAGAGUCCCUGACUCUCCAUGUCUUGCUGAGGCUGAAGCCGUCAAUGACAAAAUAGUGGAAGAUGCUAAAGACUGAAGACUUGUUUGUUUUAUCCCUGACUGCCAAGACUUUCUCUGCAGCUAUGCCCUGUAUAGCUCUUAAAAGAGUUUUCAGGUUUAGAAAGGUUUUUACAUUCUGCAAUAUUUAUCCGUAACUCAAUUAAAAAGAAUCGUACUGUAUCAAUGUGGUGUUAAUUACUCUGAGUUGGUUAAUUAAAGCAAAUCAUUGAUGAUGGGUUUGAGGAUCCCUUGGA